CCGGAGAGAUCACGAUCGGAGGUCCACCAUGAUCGGUCGUGAAGUUCUGAGUGAGAUUGCUGCACAGACCUCUGAUCGAUCUCUCUGGCCUUCUUCUUCAUUCCAACACCGUCGGGGGAGGUCUGGGAUCACGCCGGGGAGAAGAAACGGCGUCUCCGGCGCUGGAACGGUGGAGAAACGGUAGAAAUCCGUAUCGAAAAACGGUGCGGAUGUCCGUAACAGAGACGACCUAUAUAUAUAUAGGCCCGUUCUGAAGUGCACGUUCGCACUUUUCUUAAAAUGCGCACGUCCCUCCAUUUGCCAUCGUCCGACGCCGACGACGGCGCGCCUCCACCCCAGAAGACUCCAACAGCGUCCCCAACCACUUUUUCUCCCCGGCGAGUCCGUUCUUUUCUAGUUUUCUGGUGAGAUCACCCAAGAUCGACUUUAUUUGAAGUUUUGGAUGAUCUCGCCAGAAAACUGGAAACGAACGGACUCGUUGGGAAGAGAAAGUGGUCGGGGACGCUGCUUGAGUCUUCUGGAGUGGAGGUGCGGCGUCAUCGGCGCCGGAGGAAAGUGCGUACGUGCGCUUCAGAACGUUUCUAUGUGUAUAUAUAUAUAUACGGACAGGAUCAGAAGAGGACGUCCGCAAACCCGUAAAAGUGUGGACGUCCCUGCUUUUGCAGCGAUCAAGGGUCGGCGGCGGCCCUUCUCUUCCCGAACGGACACCAAACCUCGAUCGUGAGCUUCCUCUUGCCGGCGGACUCGCCAAAUACCAGUUUGCAGCCGAGAUUGAUGUUGUCUGAAGUUUUGGGUGGAGGUUGCUACCCAGACCUUCAACUCCGAUCUCCAUGGCCUUCAUCUUCAUGUUAAACAUGUCCGGGAUGCCUCUGGUGUCCGUCCGGCAAGAGAAGGGACAUCGUCGGCGCUUGAUCGCUGCAAAAGUAGGGACGUCUGCACUUUUACGGGUUUGCGAACGUCCGUCUGUGAUCCCGACUGUAUAUAUACAUAUAUACAGGCUGUCUCUACUGCAGACGUCCGUACGGAUUUCCGCCGUUUCUCUACCAUUCCAGCGCCGGCGACACCGUUUCUUCUCCCCAUCGUGAUCCCAAACCUCCCUCGACGGUGUUGGAAUGAAGAAGAAGGCCGGAGAGAUCGAUCGGAGGUCUGUGCAGCAAUCUCACUCAGAACUUCACGACCGAUCAUGGUGGACCUCCGAUCGUGAUCUCUCGGGCCUUCUUCUUCAUUCCAACAUCGUCGGGAGAGGUCUGGGAUCACGCUGGGGAGAAGAAACGGCGUCGCCGGCGCUGGAAUGGUGGAGAAACGGCGGAAAUCCGUACGGAAAACCCGUACAAACGUCCACACCUGAGACAAACUGUAUAUAUAUACGGUCCCCUUCCAGAGUGGAAUCCCGCUUUGAAAUUAAAGUGUGGGACUCCUUAUUUCACUCACUUUCAUAUCGUAUUUUCACAUCUCAACCGUACAAUGUCUAAAACACAGUGUGUAGAUCAUUCCCAAAGUUUCAUCAAAUUUAAAAAUCAUUUGGGUA
rnacentral:lncRNA from 1 species